AUACUUACCUGGCAGGGAAGAUACCAUGAUCACGAAGGUGGUUUUCCCAGGGCAAGGCUUAUCCAUUGCAAUCCGGAUGUGCUGUCCCUGCGAUUUCCUCAAAUGUGGGAAACUCGACUGCAUAAUUUGUGGUAGUGGGGGACGGCAUUCGUGUUCUCCCCUG